rnacentral:rRNA from 1 species
UACGAAGGUCCCAAGCGUUGUUCGGAAUCACUGGGCGUAAAGGGAGCGUAGGCUGUGAGGUAAGUCGGGUGUGAAAUCCCGGGGCUCAACCCCGGAACUGCACUCGAUACUGCUUUACUAGAGGACUGGAGAGGAGAUUGGAAUUCUCGGUGUAGCAGUGAAAUGCGUAGAUAUCAGGAGGAACACCGGUGGCGAAGGCGGCUUUCUGGACAGAUACCGACGCUGAGGCACGAAAGCUAGGGGAGCAAACAGG